AGUGAACGCUGGCGGUAGGCCUAACACAUGCAAGUCGAACGGCAGCACAGUAAGAGCUUGCUCUUACGGGUGGCGAGUGGCGGACGGGUGAGGAAUACAUCGUAAUCUACUUUUUCGUGGGGGAUAACGUAGGGAAACUUACGCUAAUACCGCAUACGACCUACCGGUGAAAGCAGGGGAUCUUCGCACCUUGCGCGAUUGAAUGAGCCGAUGUCGGAUUAGCUAGUUGGCGGGGUAAAGGCCCACCAAGGCGACGAUCCGUAGCUGGUCUGAGAGGAUGAUCAGCCACACUGGAACUGAGACACGGUCCAGAGUCCUACGGGAGGCAGCAGUGGGGAAUAUUGGACAAUGGGCGCAAGCCUGAUCCAGCCAUACCGCGUGGGUGAAGAAGGCCUUCGGGUUGUAAAGCCCUUUUGUUGGGAAAGAAAAGCAGCAGGUUAAUACCCCGCUGUUCUGACGGUACCCAAAGAAUAAGCACCGGCUAACUUCGUG
rnacentral:rRNA from 1 species